CUACGGGAGGCUCCAGUCUAGAAGCUUCUACAAUGCGCGAAAGCGUGAUAGAGCGACGCCGCGUGCGGGAUUGAAGGCCGUGAGGUUGUAAACCGCUGUCAGCAGGGAAGAAUGCCCGGAUGGUGAAUCCGGGAGCGACGGUACCUGCAGAGGAAGUCCUGGCUAACUCCGUGCCAGCAGCCGCGGUAAUACGGAGAGGGCAAACGUUGCUCGGAAUUACUGGGCGUAAAGAGUACGUAGGCGGCUCGGUCAGUCUGAUGUGAAAUCCCCUCGCUCAACGAGGGAACUGCCUUGGAUACUGCUGAGCUCGAGGAUGGGAGAGGCAGGUGGAAUUCCUGGUGUAGCGGUGGAAUGCGUAGAUAUCAGGAAGAACACUCGUGGCGAAGGCGGCCUGCUGGCCCAUUUCUGACGCUGAGGUACGAAAGCCAGGGGAGCGAACGGGAUUAGAUACCCUUGUAGUC
rnacentral:rRNA from 1 species